GACGAACGCUGGCGGCAUGCCUAAUACAUGCAAGUCGAGCGAACAGAUGAAGUGCUUGCACUUCUGACGUUAGCGGCGAACGGGUGAGUAACACGUAAGGAAUCUACCUAUAAGCGGGGGAUAACAUUCGGAAACGGGUGCUAAUACCGCAUAAUAUCUUCUCCCGCAUGGAAGAAGAUUGAAAGACGGCUCUGCUGUCACUUAUAGAUGACCUUGCGGUGCAUUAGUUGGUUGGUGGGGUAAUGGCCUACCAAGACGAUGAUGCAUAGCCGACCUGAGAGGGUGAUCGGCCACAUUGGGACUGAGACACGGCCCAAACUCCGACGGGAGGCAGCAGUAGGGAAUCUUCCGCAAUGGGCGAAAGCCUGACGGAGCAAUGCCGCGUGAGUGAAGAAGGCCUUCGGGUCGUAAAACUCUGUUAUAAGAGAAGAACAAAUUGUAGAGUAACUGCUACAGUCUUGACGGUAUCUUAUCAGAAAGCCACGGCUAACUACGUGCCAGCCGCCGCAGUAA
rnacentral:rRNA from 1 species